rnacentral:sRNA from 1 species
GUGACUUAAAAAAAUCGAGUAAUGGAAUCGCAUAUAUUUUGUUAUGUAAAGUAUGGUUUUGAAAAUUACUAACUCAUAGGAUUAUGCCAUGUGUCAAGUCUAUCGAUCAGAUGUUGACACGUGUAAGAACAUAAUUAAUUUUUUUCUUCUUAAAGAAAUAGAAAUACUAAAAAAAAAAUCAAUUAAAUUUUUUCUUCUUAAA